rnacentral:rRNA from 1 species
GUUUAUGCCGCAUGGCAUAAGAGUGAAAGGCGCUUUCGGGUGUCGCUGAUGGAUGGACCCGCGGUGCAUUAGCUAGUUGGCGAGGUAACGGCUCACCGAGGCCACGAUGCAUAGCCGACCUGAGAGGGUGAUCGGCCACGCUGGGACUGAGACACGGCCCAGACUCCUACGGGAGGCAGCAGUAGGGAAUCUUCGGCAAUGGACGAAAGUCUGACCGAGCAACGCCGCGUGAGUGAAGAAGGUUUUCGGAUCGUAAAACUCUGUUGUUAGAGAAGAACAAGGACGUUAGUAACUGAACGUCCCCUGACGG